ensembl:lncRNA
AAUCUAGAAUAUAAAAAUUUCUUAUACAAUUCAAUGAGAGAAAGACAACUUAAUCUGAAAAUGAGCAAAAUACUCAGUCUACUUACAAGAGACAGUAUCUCCAAAUGGUCAGUAAACAUUUAAAAAGCUGUUCAACCUCAUCAGUCACCAAGAAAUGCAAACAGAGGGUCUUCCCAGUUGAUGAACCCACCCUGAAUCCUGAGAGCAAGAGAGCCCUUUUAAUGAGGUCCAGUGGUUCUGGGACUUGGGCUUAUAUCAGAAUCACCUGCAGAUCUCCAAGACCUGAAAGAGGACUUCUCAGAAUCCUGACUCUGAAUUUGGUCUCAACAUCUGUUUUCUGCAGCUUCUCUCAAGCUCAGAGUUUUCUUAUGCCAGCCUCAAACUGUGCAGAUUCUGACCCUGGGACUUGUUCUUCCCUGUAAGAGCAUCCCUUUGAGCCUGAGGUGGUGAUUUUAAUUGACUUCCUCCCCUCUGUGGAAAAACAAGCUUUGUCUCUGCAGUUAAGUGACAUAAUAAAUGUUUUUUUAUUGUGUA